AUGAGGAUGCGCGUUACUAAGGCUUUAGGCUUGAGCUCUUGGAGUUGCGGGAGUCUGCAGUUUCCCAUGCUUGUCUUUGUUAGCGAUCGAACCAUCUCGAAAGCACUAGGAUCCGGAUCUGUCUUAUUGACCGGCUUUGGUCGAGCUACCGCUACAUUUCAGGAACGGCCACAGCCUACAUUACUUGUCUCCCUCUUCUCAAGGAAGUUAGUCUCAGACCAUAUGUAG